GGUUCAGGAUGAACGCAGCUACAGGCCAACACAUGCAAGUCGAGGGGCAUCGCGGUAGUGAGCAAUCACUCCUGGCGGCGACCGGGCGGAUGGGUGAGUAACGCGUAUCCAACCUGCCCCAUGCCCGGGCACAGCCCCUGGAAACGGGGAGUGACUCCCGAUGGCGCCCUGCGGCCGCAUGGCCGCGUGGCUAAAUUUCGAGGCGUGGGAUGGGGGUGCGUCCGAUUAGGUAGUUGGCGGGGCAACGGCCCACCAAGCCGAUGAUCGGUAGGGGUUCUGAGAGGAAGGUCCCCCACAUUGGGACUGAGACACGGCCCAAACUCCUACGGGAGGCAGCAGUGAGGAAUAUUGGUCAAUGGGCGGAAGCCUGAACCAGCCAAGUAAGCGUGGAGGAUGACGGCCCUACGGGUUGUAAACUCCUUUAGCGCGGGAAUAACGUGCCGCGACCCGUGUCGCGCCUUGCAGGUACCGCGAGAAUAAGGACCGGCUAAUUCCGUGCCAGCCGCCGC
rnacentral:rRNA from 1 species